AGGUGGCCAUGAUAUUUUUGUUUCAGGUUCCUACUUUGUUCCUCCAUGGAUCUGGGAAUGUUCUAAAGCAGGAGAGUUGGUGCGGAGGAGCUGAUGUGACCGCUGCGCGUUUCAUUAGCAGUUGGAGGCCGUUAGAUGUACCCUUGAAGCGCAGCUGCCAACAGCAUCGCAUCUGAAAGAGCACGCUGCAGCAUGAAUAAAAGCACACCUGAAGAAAUUGAAAUGACUGGAGGAGAUGAGCAGUGAGAGAACAUGCUGUUGGACUAAUUGAAGUGAUGAACUUCAGUUGUCUAAAGACAGAAAUAGAUACGUUGAUUCCCUUUUGAGGCCCCUAACUGCAUUCAGAGUCACUUUGCUUUGCUUUCCCUCCCAAAGAAGAGCGCAAGCUAUUUGAGAGAGACCCUGCCCCUUCGCCUCUAAGCUGGGUUAAGUCGUAUCAUGACCAGGGGAGGUGAAAAUCUCUUGCUUCAGCUGCAGUUAGACGACUGUUAUUAUAUCGCCACUAAACAAAACCUCUCGAUAGUUUUUUUUUGCACUGUGUCCCCGGUAGCCCUCUUCUUAGGUUUGUUUUCAGGUGAUAAAUUUUUCUAACACUUUGUAUGUGUGUAGGCGGGGUGACAGACCAGUGUCCCAUUCUUAAAUUGCAAAGGGUUUAGCUCUGUGUAGUGUAUCGCAUGUUCAGCUUGAAGAAUAAUCUCCACGCAUUUCCUUUGUUUAGGCAUAAAAACCACCUCUCAGCUUAUGCCAGCAUAAGAAGUGUUUAGCCUCUUUUUAGAAAUCCGACUUCAGGAAUUUUGUUUUGUUCACAUAUAUGAGCAAUGAGGGUGUACUCUUGAAGACAUAGUUCCUGGAAAAGAAAGCAAGGUGUAGUGAAAAAUGUGAAUUAACCAGUCCUAAUUGGUUAGGUUGACACCUAGGUUAGCAUGCUUAGAAUCUGGUGCAACUCCAGUGAGGUCAGGAUGAAGUCUGCAUCUACAUCUUUUAACCCAGGGUAUGAGAAUGCCAAUAAUACGUAGACUGCAAACUAUGUUUUCCAUUAAUUUGUUAGGGUGAAAAAAAGCCUUCACAUAUAUGCCAAAUGUAGAGCUAGGAAUAGCAAUUUUAUUUUAAACUUUUCCAUUGUGUAACUAGACAGGUCCUCUGCUUAUUAAAUUCAUUGCUUCAUUCAGUGCCUGCCUUUGUGGUUUUUAGCGUCUGGCCAACUUGUAUUUCAAGAAUAUCCUCUUAUUUUUGUCUAUCCAAACUUAGUGAGGCUUUGUCACCUACUGGUAUGGAAAAAUAUAAACCACUUGAAUUUCAUGGUUAGGGAAUAGAUUCUAAACUUUAUAUAUCCUAUAUGCAAUGCAUGUAAAAUCAUAAAAAAUUCCUUCUCUUUUCCAGUGCAGGUCUCCAGGUGCUCAGAAUCAGUAAGAAUUUCAGUUUCCCUGUACAGCUGUUACUAAUUACCUGAUCUCACUGUUUUACUCUCACUUUCUCUGUUCCGCCUUCAUCCCUCUCCCAGUUAUGAAUUACUAGCAUUAUGAAGAAGGCACGCUCUUCGUUUUGUUGAACGUUGUAAAAAAUUCACUAGAAUCAUAUAAGAAUUUAUCCUGCUGCUGGCAGAAAGCAGCUCUACAAACAAUGUGCUCCUUUGUUUGCCCGAAGCAUAGUAACAAAUGGAUUAUGUGUAACAGCCAUCUAUAGGGCUUUUAUUUCAUCUCCAUUCAGGCUCUGCGUGUUUUGCACUGCUUUUAAUGAGGCUGCCUGAACUAUGGUAACCCCACGGUACAUUUGUAAGCAAGAGAUAUUAGAUGAAUCAGCCCCUUCCAGGACUGCAUUAUGAGGUGAUCUGCUUUCAUUACAGGAUUUAUUUUAUAGGUGGUAGACCUCAGUGAGAGGAUAUUGCGGGCACAAGCGGCACUUAUCUGCUCUGUAAGGCCAAGUUCAGGGUCUGCAUGAAUAUGAAUCUCCUUUCCCACAGUCAAACCUCCAUUCGUUGCGUGGCUUGAAACACAACCUUUUUUGUGCAUGACCUCUCCUUUGCUCCCCUUCUGCUUCAGGCUCAUACUGGAAUGAUUGAUAGUCCUUUAUAAAAUACUCCAUAAAGAACUAUUUUACUUCCCCAUCAGCAUGAAAGCUUGGGUCACCCUCCCCCCCAAAACAAGUACAAACCCCAGCAUCUCGCAGCAGAAUGAAAAGCCUCUUCUUCCUUCUGCCUUUCUGAAGCGUGAAGGUUUCCUCUCUGGAACUAGAAAUGUUUCUUCCCUGGCAAUAGAGCUCACUGUUGUCAAAACCAACCAAACACAUAUUCAUGUAAGUACAGAUAGAUGCCUUCUUUUUUCUCUGGAGGCCUAUGAAGGUUUUACUUUUUUGCUCUUUUUUUUUAACAUCGUUUACAAAUUUUACCAGAGCAAACCAGGAUUCACAAGUAGCAUAGUGCCUUAUUUAAGUCUUUUGUGGUUUGUUUGAACGUAAUCUGUUCUCAAGACCUUCCAUUUGUUCUGCUGCUCUUCAGUCACUCCCAGAAUCAAAACUGAGUAGACUUCGCAUAGGAAAUAUUGUUGCAAUACAGAAGACAAUUGUAAGCAUGAUAACAAAGUAGAUGAUAAAACCAAAGCCAAGUGGCAGCUCAGAGGCCUCAUCUUCCUCCACUCUGGACACGUUUUCUGUAUGUUGCUGGAAGCGUUUAGCUGUUAAAAAUUAUAGCUCAGGCAAUUCUUGACUUUGUAUGUAGAGGACCCCGUGAAAAACUGGGGAUGGUGGAAGAAAUACAAGACAUGCCAUUGCUUUGGAUAACACCCAGAACAGGACUAGAGAUUCGAGAAGUCACUGUUGAUAAGUUUUCAGAUUUCAUGGUUGGAAGGUGGCUUUGGCAAGGAAUUACUGGCAGUAAGGUAAAAUCAGGUUGAACCGUGAAUUGCUAAGUCUUAAUGAGAAUCCUAACAGCACAGGGCUGCAAGUAACACCUUGUGGUAAUUGUAGUCUUUGCUAGCUAGCAGCAGUGAAAAGCAAAGCCCUGGGAUUAAAAGUACCGUGAACAAAAAGGGAGAGGUCAUAUAAAACAGCUUGUUGUUAUAGGAAAAGAAAAAAGUCUAAUGAUGAAGACAAAUCAAUUAGCAAAGAAAACUGCUUGGGGGAAGACUUUCAAAUUUUCUAGGUUGUGGGUUGGUUUUUUUUUCCUUUCAAUAACAAAUCAACUGCAAACAUUCCUCUCUCCAGCUGCAUUUUGUGUAAAAACACACAGUGGCAGACUCAGGGAAUUCACCAGCUAUUUUAUUCUUAGUUUUACUUUUUAAUAGAGAAAUCCUUUCCAUUUUCCAAGCACUUCUAAUUUCUGAUUUUACUAGUGCAAUCAUAGCCCCUCUGCUGCAUACAUUUCCUGCAUACAUUCAUAAACACGUGUGUGCAUGCGUGUACGAGAUGUACCAAGGUAAAGAGAGACAGACCCUGAAUGCACUAGUGGAUGCGUGGGUUUGCUGUAAUACCUCAGUUUUGGCUUCAUCAUUUUUUGUGUCAAUCUCCAAACGCCAAUACCUGGAAAUGAGAGACUGAACUGCCUGGAAGGCAACUUCUGAUCUCCUGAAUGAAAAUGAUCCUUAUGCUUUAUGUGCAUGCACUGUAUGUCGUUGAGCUGCAGAAAUAGGCAGCACCUGCAUACUCUUGAGAAAUGGACUGUAAUAGAAAGAAGAUUACAAACGUAUUUGGAAGCACUUAAAAAGGCUAAUGAUUGAGGGGAGGGCUUUUUUUAAUGAAUAUUUGUGUUGCUGGGUGAUAAGCGUGGGUUUACUUAGUAGGGCUUUUCUGGUUAUUUGUACUUUGACUCUAUGUUUUAAUGAGUAUAAAGGCAUGCAGAUCAAAUAUCUGGGCACUUUUUUUCAUUAUAAUUAACACUUAAUGAAUUAAUUUCCAACCUUUAAUUAGACUGAAUUUAAAUACAGCACGUUUCAAACUCAAGACUUUGGAAGGCAUUUAAAAGGAUGAAACUGCAUGCUGUCAGACACCUAUUCUGCAAGUUUAAAUGAUACCAUGUCUUGGGAAGUUUAAUCUGAAAGGUGAGUUGACUGGUACUUCGGAAGUUGAUCCAAUUUUAAGGUGAGAGAUGUUUCAGAUAACAUGGAGUGCUUAAUCCUUUCCACUCAUCCUCCUCCCCUUUCACUCAAGGUCUAAUAUUUUCUUAGGAAAAUCUGGUUAUAUGCUUUCAGUGUCUCGCCCCUUUGCAAACAAGCUGUAAGCUUCCAUUGCUUUUCAUUCCCGCUGGAUCUGUUGAGAGGCUGUCACUAUUGUGAGCAACAAAAUGUUUGGAUGUGUCACCCCAGGAGUCAGUCUUUGAUGGGCUGAGAGAAAGCAGAAUGAAGACUGGAAAAGUAAAGCUCGUUAACAAGUUAGUUAACAAACAGAAAUCCUGUAUUUACUACCUUCUACUGUGAAGGAAGCUCAAAUAUUUAAUAGGACCUUUCUACGUCGGCUGUCUGGCAAGAUCACACAAGUGUGAGAAUUAUUAAGUGUCUUUCUGUGGCAACCUAUCUCUAUAAGAAUGUAACUCAUUUUCAAAAUUAAAACUGA